UAGUAAUUAGCGGUUUUUAAACGUUACAGGACAAAUUUUUUGAAAAUAUUAUUAACUAAUUUAUUUGCUAAAACAAUUAAUUUAUAGAAACAGUAAUUCAUUGUAAAUUUCAAAUAAAAACGACUUACAAGAGGAGGAAAGCGACUAUUUCCUUCUUUAUCUGACAUAAAAGAUCGGACGAUGAAAAUCCUGCUCUGAAAAUUCCGUGGCCAGAAAUUUCUGUGAUUAAUGAUGUGAUAACAUUAAGCAGACAAAUACGCAGUUUCAAGUCAAUUCAGAUUGCUUCAAUGGUUUAUCAAAUGGAGGACACAUAUAAGGAGGAAAAAAUACAAGGCAAGGCUGUCAUCAGCGAAGUUCUCAUCUAAUAAGAUACAGCAGAGAAAAUUCCUUUGCCUUGUGGUAACAAAGUAUUGAUAUGUUGUUGGACAUGAAGACCCCUUGGUGACACAAGUGAUAAUCAGAAACUGUUUAUUGCCUUUAAAAGACUAAGUGGAAUUUUCAUCUAAAAGCUUAGAAAUUACUAGGUUUCAUACCUUUGUGAAGAAAUAUUCUCUUUCUUCGAACGCUUAAAGCUUCCCAUUUGUAAAUACCAGAACGGAAUCUUCGGCACUGCAUGGAUCUUCAUCUGUACUGAUGCAGUUUUACCAACUAUUAAACAUUUUUAGCAACUAAUUCUAAUGAGGAAAAUGCUGAUACCCUGUUUCUGCACUUCUUGUAAACGGUACUAAAGCAGGAAUAAGUAAGAAACUAAGAAGACCACAAAGAAUAAAUGCAUCGUAUGGAAGCUUUAUGAAUAUGAAUAUUGUAAACAGUAGAAAAACAGGAAAGAGCCGGAUUUUAUCAUUUGAGGCGCAGAAUGCCGUAAUAAGAAACCACCUCAGAAAGGGUCUGCAUUGCUGACGCAUCAACUAAAACAAGCAUAGCUAUCUAUGAAGAUUAUCAAGUAGCAAUUCCUCUCCUCGAACGACAAAUUUAUGAAGCGGAUCUUGCCUUUUUCUUUUUUGGAGACAGCAGUCUAGCUGCUCUACAGCACGCAGCGGGAUUUCUGAUGAACGGUCUAGCUACCUUCAAUGACAAGCACUUUACGAGGUGAACGAAAAUAACCCAUGUAAUUAAACUAUGCGGGCAAGCCGAUCCAGACUUGUGAUAAACGAGACAUAAAACGCAUAGAAAUGGAUAUUCUCUUGUACCUAACUUCUAUUUCUCUACAUUGGCGAAACAAAAAAUACUCUCAAAAUGUACAGUUACUGCGGGACUCACUGUAAUAAUUCCCUUUAGCUUGGAAUACAUUCAUCUGAGCGGAAUUUAUAGCAUCUCAGUUUUAAUAAGGAAGUCGCACCUCGAUGGCCUGCAAUAGUAGAUUUUUACUUCCGGGCUUAAGGCCGCCUUAAUAACGGCUCAGUCCUCUUUAUAGAAAGGAAAGGGAGAUGUACAUAAUUCAAGGUUAAUAUGCAUAAAUGUAAUUUUUAUGUUUAUAUAUUCGAGAGGCAAUUGAGAAUGUUGUGUAAUUAUGAAAGCAAGUUGCGCUCACUUUUCUUUCGAAUGUAGUUCACUAAUUUGUUCCCCAAAAUAAUAGGUCAU
rnacentral:lncRNA from 1 species